rnacentral:rRNA from 1 species
AGUGAACGCUGGCGGUAGGCCUAACACAUGCAAGUCGAACGGCAGCACAGUAAGAGCUUGCUCUUACGGGUGGCGAGUGGCGGACGGGUGAGGAAUACAUCGGAAUCUACUUUUUCGUGGGGGAUAACGUAGGGAAACUUACGCUAAUACCGCAUACGACCUACGGGUGAAAGCAGGGGAUCUUCGGACCUUGCGCGAUUGAAUGAGCCGAUGUCGGAUUAGCUAGUUGGCGGGGUAAAGGCCCACCAAGGCGACGAUCCGUAGCUGGUCUGAGAGGAUGAUCAGCCAAACUGGAACUGCGACACGGUCCAGACUCCUACGGGAGGCAGCAGUGGGGAAUAUUGGACAAUGGGCGCAAGCCUGAUCCAGCCAUACCGCGUGGGUGAAGAAGGCCUUCGGGUUGUAAAGCCCUUUUGUUGGGAAAGAAAAGCAGCAGGUUAAUACCCCGCUGUUCUGACGGUACCCAAAGAAUAAGCACCGGCUAACUUCGUG